rnacentral:rRNA from 1 species
UACAGAGGUCCCGAGCGUUGUUCGGAUUUAUUGGGCGUAAAGGGUGCGUAGGCGGCGGAGUAAGUUGGGUGUGAAAUCCCGGGGCUUAACCUCGGAAUUGCAUUCAAUACUGCUUCGCUCGAGUACUGGAGAGGAGGCUGGAAUUUACGGUGUAGCAGUGAAAUGCGUAGAUAUCGUAAGGAAGGCCGGUGGCGAAGGCGGGUCUCUGGACAGUUCCUGACACUGAGGCACGAAGGCCAGGGGAGCAAACGGG